GUGUCGUGCGAAAAGAAAGAAGUUAGCCUUCCCUUGACCGAGACAGAAGAAGCCCUUGAGUUUACUAACACAUGUACAGUCAAGACAUUCGUGCCUGCUUUGCGACAUCUAACCAUUGCUGUGC
ensembl:snRNA LOC120094525 U6atac minor spliceosomal RNA